AUUGAACGCUGGCGGCAUGCCUUACACAUGCAAGUCGAACGGCAGCACGGGAGCAAUCCUGGUGGCGAGUGGCGAACGGGUGAGUAAUAUAUCGGAACGUGCCCAGUCGUGGGGGAUAACGCAGCGAAAGCUGUGCUAAUACCGCAUACGAUCUACGGAUGAAAGCGGGGGAUCGCAAGACCUCGCGCGAUUGGAGCGGCCGAUAUCAGAUUAGCUAGUUGGUGGGGUAAAGGCCCACAAAGGCGACGAUCUGUAGCUGGUCUGAGAGGACGACCAGCCACACUGGAACUGAGACACGGUCCAGACUCCUACGGGAGGCAGCAGUGGGGAAUUUUGGACAAUGGGCGCAAGCCUGAUCCAGCAAUGCCGCGUGCAGGAUGAAGGCCUUCGGGUUGUAAACUGCUUUUGUACGGAACGAAACGGUCUGCCCUAAUACGGUGGGCUAAUGACGGUACCGUAAGAAUAAGCACCGGCUAACUACGUGCCAGCCGCCGCCGUAA
rnacentral:rRNA from 1 species